GAGGGGCCCACGUGGUAUUAGCUUGUUGGUGGGGUAGCGGCCUACCAAGGCAAAGAUGCCUAGCGGGUGUGAGAGCACGACCCGCGCCACUGGCACUGAGACACUGGCCAGACUCCUACGGGAGGCUGCAGUCGAGGAUCUUCGGCAAUGGGCGCAAGCCUGACCGAGCGACGCCGCGUGCGCGAUGAAGGCCUUCGGGUUGUAAAGCGCUGUCGAGGGGGAGGAAAGCCCGCAAGGGUCUGACUAAUCCCUGGAGGAAGCACGGGCUAAGUUCGUGCCAGCAGCCGCGGUAAGACGAACCGUGCGAACGUUGUUCGGAUUCACUGGGCUUAAAGGGCGCGUAGGCGGGUAUUCAAGUCUGGGGUGAAAUCCUCUCGCUUAACGAGAGAACAGCCCUGGAUACUGGGUACCUCGAGGGAGGUAGGGGCAUGUGGAACUUCCGGUGGAGCGGUGAAAUGCGUAGAUAUCGGAAGGAACGCCGGUGGCGAAAGCGACGUGCUGGACCUCUUCUGACGCUGAGGCGCGAAAGCCAGGGGAGCAAACGGGAUUAGAUACCCCGGUAGUCCUGGCCCUAAACGAUGGGUACUAGAUUGUAGACUGACAUGGGUUUACAGUCGAAGCAAAAGUGAUAAGUACCCCGCCUGGGGAGUAUGGUCGCAAGGCUGAAACUCAAAGGAAUUGACGG
rnacentral:rRNA from 1 species